GAAGUGUAAAACUUGUCUUGAUUGAAACCUUAGGCGUACAAAUUACUUCAAAAGUCCAUAAUUUUUUUAGACAAAUAAUACAUUUGUAUAUACAAAUGUAAAACAAUCCCUUCUAUAUUGAAUUGCACUUCACAUAUGUAUGUAAUCUUAUACUCACAAUCAGGUGUAAUAUCAAAAAAAUAACAUUCGUUCCUUCUUAUGCUUCAAAUAAUAAAGUUUCAUCUUCUUUUGUCUCUUAUCUGACCUUGAAAUCUCAUCUAUAAGUCUCACAUGAGAGCUCAACAUUUCAGCAGCAUGUUACAAUUGCAAAAAGACUUAUCUCCAGCAAAAAGACUACAACAAUUUCUUAUCCAAACUAAGACUACCAGUUUGCAGACUCCUUAAGAAACAUUAAGUAGCCAACAAGAUAAUGAAAGUCANNN
rnacentral:lncRNA from 1 species